rnacentral:rRNA from 1 species
GAUGAACGCUGGCGGCGUGCCUAAUACAUGCAAGUAGAACGCUGAAGGAAGGAGCUUGCUCUUUCCGGAUGAGUUGCGAACGGGUGAGUAACGCGUAGGUAACCUGCCUGGUAGCGGGGGAUAACUAUUGGAAACGAUAGCUAAUACCGCAUAACAGUAGAUGUUGCAUGAUAUCUACUUAAAAGGUGCAAUUGCACCACUACCAGAUGGACCUGCGUUGUAUUAGCUAGUUGGUGAGGUAACGGCUCACCAAGGCGACGAUACAUAGCCGACCUGAGAGGGUGAUCGGCCACACUGGGACUGAGACACGGCCCAGACUCCUACGGGAGGCAGCAGUAGGGAAUCUUAGGCAAUGGACGGAAGUCUGACCGAGCAACGCCGCGUGAGUGAAGAAGGUUGUCGGAUCGUAAAGCUCUGUUGUAAGAGAAGAACGAGUGUGAGAGUGGAAAGUUCACACUGUGACGGUAUCUUACCAGAAAGGGACGGCUAACUACGUG